GACGAGGGGUCCUAGCGUUGUUCGGAAUUACUGGGCGUAAAGCGCACGUAGGCGGCUAUGUAAGUCGGAUGUGAAAGCCCCGGGCUUAACCCGGGAAGUGCAUCCGAUACUGUAUAGCUUGAGUUUGGGAGAGGGCAGUGGAAUUCCUGGUGUAGUGGUGAAAUACGUAGAUAUCAGGAGGAACACCGGUGGCGAAGGCGGCUGCCUGGCCCACAACUGACGCUGAGGUGCGAAAGCGUGGGGAUCAAACAGG
rnacentral:rRNA from 1 species